rnacentral:lncRNA from 1 species
AUAUGAUACUUAGUGCCCUGGGGACACAAGGUGGGAGGUUCUCCUUUGCACGGGCUUUCCUGCAAAGGCUCUGUUGCUCUAUCAAUCAAACAGCAGGACAUAGGCAACCUAAGCAAAGGGAAAUGCUUGUAGGACUUCCAGGAUUGAUUAGAUAUGGACAGCAGGUUUGACAGUGGGGAGGAGCAAAGGCUAUGCUGCAGGGCUGCCCCUGUUCCUUCCAUCCCGUGGAACUCUGUCAAGAUCCAAAGUCCAGAAGACAGCAUCUACCUGACCAAGCUUAAGUCAUAUGUCUGCUCAUAAACUUAGGGAUGGGGAAGGGAAGGGAAGGGCAAAGGGAGAGGUGAAAUCUGUUUCUUUCCCUUUCAGUAGAGAUGAAACUGGUGCCUGGAAUAAUUACCUUCUUACUAAGAUUAAACACACUAGGGAGUUAUUCUCUAAAAGGAAAACAAACUCAGAUUAGGAAUGAAGAAUGGAAGCUGGACAAAUCUUUACAAUGACCAAUGACUCUUACCUGGACAUUCAGGCAUGGGGAAGAAUAUGGGUAAAGGCAAGUCCUUAGUAAUACUGCUGAACUGCUGGAUCAAGCCUUACCUGAAACCAACUGACCUUGGAGCUUUCCAGUUAUGUGAACAAGUGGAAUCUUACAUUAGAAGUCUGGUUCAAAACAGGUGUGCUAUGAUGGGGUUGGUGAUAGAGAACCCAUGGCCCGCCCACUCAGUCUUCCUCUCAUCUCUCUAGAAGACUAAGGAAACAUGGAGCCCAGUUCGAAGACAAGUUACCAUGAUACCUUACACUUACAGUUAAGACAGCCUGCUGAAAACAUUUUCUCUUCAAAUUUCCCAUGCCAAAAGCAUUUCUACCAUGUUGUAUGGUGCAGAAUAUUGGCAGAAUAUUGACUAUGGUGUGUGUGUGUGGAUGCAGUGGUGGUGGUGACUAAUCAUGAAGGCUUUUAGGAAGAAAUAACUGCCUUUGGCAGGCAAACCUGUACUUCACCACCUCUGUGUGUGAAUAAGAUGGCCUUCUAUCACCAUGGGCAAUACAAACCACAUGCUUAUAAAAUUCUCCAAGAGAAUGCCAAUUUUGCUUGGUAAAAUUGAGUAUCUAAAAGCACGUAGGUUGGUGUUCAGUAAACAACUUGGAAUAUGUAUGCCUCACUGAUAUAAGGCAUAUAUAAGUCAAAGAAAUAAUUGACUUUAAACUUACUGCUGUUAUUCAGCUUUUAUCAAAAGCAUAGUUUAGAUAUGGGUUGAAAAACUGGUGCUGGUAGGCCUAGUAGCCUGUGAACUUUUAUCUGGCUCCUACAGUGUUUUAAAAGACACUAAAACUAUAGGUAUGUAUGUUUGGUCAGUUUAACAUAUAAAUAUAUAUCUUCUGAUUUUUCUUUGAUUUCUGCUACCCUAUAUACACAUGUAUAUGUGUAUUAACUACAAUCUGUUAUAAAUAUUUUUGUAAAC